rnacentral:pre_miRNA from 1 species
AGGAAGACGGUGAGUAGAAGCCAAAGAAUUUAUUAGUUUUAAUUAUAGCAUUCAUUCACAGUAUUUCCUUU